ACAGAUAAGCUGUGUGAUUCCUCUCUCUCAUAUUAUUGCUUCUUUUAGGAGUUCUAGAGCUCUAUAAACUGUGAAACUUUGUUUAAGAAAACAUUAUUAAGACAUUGUGAGAUUGAUUAAUCGUUUUUUACUGAGCUCACAGUGUAGAUAGUGCUUUUAAACCUGACUUUUGCACUUCAUGAGUUCUGUAUUUUCUGCCUCGUGCAGGAGGGAGAGAGUGCACGUGUGUGUGUGUGCGCUAAUUUUGCUCCAUGUCACGUGUUCAGGAAAUAAAUGAAGACCUUCAGUUCUCUGACUUCGUGUGGUUGAUUAUUGUCUCCUGAGCUGUCCGACCUGUUGACGUCUGCUACAACUGCAUAAAUACUAAUGAGACAGAAUAAGUAUACAGUAGACCCUUGAGUUACGAAUGGUUUACCAUACGAACAUUUUGGUUUUUUCGGUGUUGUCUUUAUAUUUUGUAAAAUUCAAUAUUAAAAUGGCCCCAAAUAAGGUGCAGAGAAAGCUUAGUGGUGAUAAAAUGAACAAAUCUAUUACAUUUGUUGUUGUAUAAUUACUCCUGCCAGUAGCUGUCACUGUGUAUCAGACAGAGGGAAUAGUGAGUGACAGAGAAGAAGGAAGUCCGCUGAGUAAAGUAUUCUUUCUUUCGUGCAAUUACACCUACAAAAUACAACACUAUUGAAAUAAAGAAGGAAAUAAUAGAGAAA